rnacentral:rRNA from 1 species
CAUAGGUUAAUGAGGCGAACCGGGGGAACUGAAACAUCUAAGUACCCCGAGGAAAAGAAAUCAACCGAGAUUCCCCCAGUAGCGGCGAGCGAACGGGGAGCAGCCCAGAGCCUGAAUCAGUGUGUGUGUUAGUGGAAGCGUCUGGAAAGGCGCGCGAUACAGGGUGACAGCCCCGUACACAAAAAUGCACAUGCUGUGAGCUCGAUGAGUAGGGCGGGACACGUGGUAUCCUGUCUGAAUAUGGGGGGACCAUCCUCCAAGGCUAAAUACUCCUGACUGACCGAUAGUGAACCAGUACCGUGAGGGAAAGGCGAAAAGAACCCCGGCGAGGGGAGUGAAAAAGAACCUGAAACCGUGUACGUACAAGCAGUGGGAGCACAGAGCAAUCUGUGUGACUGCGUACCUUUUGUAUAAUGGGUCAGCGACUUAUAUUCUGUAGCAAGGUUAACCGAAUAGGGGAGCCGAAGGGAAACCGAGUCUUAACUGGGCGUUAAGUUGCAGGGUAUAGACCCGAAACCCGGUGAUCUAGCCAUGGGCAGGUUGAAGGUUGGGUAACACUAACUGGAGGACCGAACCGACUAAUGUUGAAAAAUUAGCGGAUGACUUGUGGCUGGGGGUGAAAGGCCAAUCAAACCGGGAGAUAGCUGGUUCUCCCCGAAAGCUAUUUAGGUAGCGCCUCGUGAAUUCAUCUCCGGGGGUAGAGCACUGUUUCGGCAAGGGGGUCAUCCCGACUUACCAACCCGAUGCAAACUGCGAAUACCGGAGAAUGUUAUCACGGGAGACACACGGCGGGUGCUAACGUCCGUCGUGAAGAGGGAAACAACCCAGACCGCCAGCUAAGGUCCCAAAGUCAUGGUUAAGUGGGAAACGAUGUGGGAAGGCCCAGACAGCCAGGAUGUUGGCUUAGAAGCAGCCAUCAUUUAAAGAAAGCGUAAUAGCUCACUGGUCGAGUCGGCCUGCGCGGAAGAUGUAACGGGGCUAAACCAUGCACCGAAGCUGCGGCAGCGACGCUUAUGCGUUGUUGGGUA